CUGCUCACUUUGGUAGCACAUAUAGAAAAACUGAUUCAAUUCGGAGAAGACUGGCAUGUCACCUGCACAGAGGUGACAACAAAAUCAUGAAGCACUCCAUAUUUCU
ensembl:snRNA U6 U6 spliceosomal RNA